GACGAACGCUGGCGGCGUGCCUAAUACAUGCAAGUAGAACGCACAGUUCAUAUUGUAGCUUGCUACUCCAUAGACUGUAAGUUGCGAACGGGUGAGUAACCCGUAGUUAUCCUGCCUGGAAGUGGGGGUUAACUAUUGGAAACGAUAGUUAAUACCGCAUAAUCUUAAUUAUUGCAUGUUAAUUAGUUAACAGUUGCAAUUGCACCACUGCUAGACGGACCUGCGUUGUAUUUGCUAGUAGGUGAGGUAACGGCCCAGCUAGCCGACGAUAGACGGCCGGCCGGAGGGGUGGAACGGCCAAACUGGGAAUGAGACAUGGCCUACACUCCUGCGGGAGGCAGCAGGAGGGAAUCGUCGACAAUGGACGAAAGUCUGACCGAUCAACGACGCAGGAGUGGAGAAGGAUGUCGGAUCGUAAAGCUCUGUUGUAAGAGAAGAACGAGGGUGAGGGUUGAAAGUUCACGCUGUGACGGUAGCUUACCAAAAAGGGACGGCUAACUACGUG
rnacentral:rRNA from 1 species